rnacentral:lncRNA from 1 species
GACAACUUGGACAAAGACUCCAGAAUGGUUCCAGGAAAACCUCAGAAAUUGUGGGGCCUUCGUAGAGACCAUCCCAAGUUCAUGUUUCACAAGCAAUGUGGAAAGAAGUCUCUAAAUAGUGCCAGGAAGCCAUGGACAAGUCUGUUUUGACUACUGUGGUCAAGAGUAGGAAGUUCUCAACAGUCUCGUUACAUCUUCGCCAUUGACCAUUGAUCCUUUUCAAACUCUGUCUUUGUUGCAUGGACUCAGCUGUGGUCAGCCUUGGUUCACCAAG